GAUGAAGAACGUAGCAAAAUGCGAUAAGUAAUGUGAAUUGCAGAAUUCAGUGAAUCAUCGAAUCUUUGAACGCACAUUGCGCCCGCCAGUAUUCUGGCGGGCAUGCCUGUUCGAGCGUCAUUUCAACCCUCAAGCACAGCUUGGUGUUGGGACUCGCGUUAAUUCGCGUUCCUCAAAUUGAUCGGCGGUCACGUCGAGCUUCCAUAGCGUAGUAGUAAAACCCUCGUUACUGGUAAUCGUCGCGGCCACGCCGUUAAACCCCAACUUCUGAAUGUUGACCUCGGAUCAGGUAGGAAUACCCGCUGAACUUAAGCAUAUCAAUAAGCGGAGGA
rnacentral:misc_RNA from 1 species